rnacentral:ncRNA from 1 species
UCUGGAUAAACUUGUAUCCAUCCAAGAGAAUGGAGUGAGUCACUUUACGGAAUUAGAUUAAGUAACACAUCUAAGGAUUGCCAAAGGCUUACAUACAAGCGAAAUCCUUUGAUGAUAGGAUAACCAUAUGUCCUUUAAUACAAUAUGUAUUAUAAAAAUAAUCUUGAACAACUUUGAUUAAGUUUUCAAGUUACGGUUUA